rnacentral:lncRNA from 1 species
UUUAAAAAGAAUCAUAUCCAAGAUGGUGUUCAGGAGACCGGGCUACCUCAACCUGAAGUUCCCACUUCCUCUAUGGAACUCAGACAGAUGCCCUGAGGUUGGGCCUGUCAUGACCUCAGCCUUCUGAGUGUGCCCUGCUUCAAGCAAAGUACACAGGGGGCACUCACCUGGUCCUCAGGAAGCACUCACCCAGUCCUUAGAGAGCAAUCCCUUGGUCUGACCUCAAUGAGUGAGGUGUCAGACAGGCCUGUGGCCACAGAAUAACAGGCUUCUGAGAGAUAAUUAUUCUGCUGAGGUUCCUACGGAGGCUGGGUUGCAGGGACACACUCAAUACUGGCUUCCUCUGAACCACAGGCUGAACUCAAAUUGCCUGGAUUCAAAUCCACAUUUUGCCUCUUACUAGCUAUGUGACUUCAAGCACUUUAUUUAACCUUUCUGUGCCUUAUCUGAAAAAUGGAGAUAAUAACAGGGCCUACCUCAUGGGACUGCUGUGAGGAUUAAAUGUAAACAUGUGAGAAAGUCAGAUGAGGACCAGGCACCUGGCAAGAGCUCAAAAAGGACAUCAUCAUCAUCAUCAUCAUCAUCCUCCUCCUCCUCCUUACAAUCAUCAUUGCUUCAUGCACUUCUCUUCUUCCCUGCUCUGCAUCUCUGCAAAGCCUCCAGGAUGAGCUCCGGGGCUCCCUCCAUAGCACACAUAUCUGGAGACCCCGCCCCCGAGCAUUCUCAGAUUCACCAGGAUCUCGAGGUCCUGUCCUAGGAGUCUGGGGAUGCAACAGAGAACAACAAUAACAAUGUACAAAAGACAAAGGCCUUGACCCCAGGAAGCUCACAUUCACAGGAGAGAUGGGCAAUAAGCAAACAGAAGAUGUCUGGAUGAAAGUCUGCAGAGAGAAACAGGAAGUGAAGAGCUGGACAGGAGGGUCACAGAGCAGGAAGCAAAGCUAUCAUCACAAGUGCCCUGGGGAGCCAUGGAGCCACAGCAAGACCAGGACUGGGGAUUAUAGCCCUAGGAGAUCUACAGCAUCAUGCCACUUCCCUCUUCCAUGGGGCAAGCCUUGAGAGCCGAGCAGGACUUAUCUU